rnacentral:rRNA from 1 species
UACGGGAGGCAGCAGUGGGGAAUAUUGGACAAUGGGCGAAAGCCUGAUCCAGCAAUGCCGCGUGAGUGAUGAAGGCCUUAGGGUUGUAAAGCUCUUUUACCCGGGAUGAUAAUGACAGUACCGGGAGAAUAAGCUCCGGCUAACUCCGUGCCAGCAGCCGCGGUAA